rnacentral:lncRNA from 1 species
UCUUUUUGAGACUUUAUUCCCUCAAAGUUGCCCCCAAAGUUAAAGCCACAGCUACCCCCAUAGGAGUGGCUCCACAUCAUCAGGACCUUGAGAUCAUCAAAUUUCCAAAUGGUUUUAUGAUUUCUCCUUUGGAAAACUAUGCCCUGCAUCAAGAAUUGGUUUGUUCAUUAAAGCAGGCAGUAGCUAUGAGGACUCCAACAAUUUAGUAACUUCUCAUUUGCUGUGUCUUGCAUCCAGUUUGACUACGAAAGGAGCUUCAUUUUUCAAGAUAGCCCAUGACAUUGAAGCAGCUGGUGGUAAAUUAAGUGUAAUUGCAACAAGAGAAAACAUAGCUUACAUCAUGGAAUGUCUGCAGAGUGAUAUUGAUAUUCUAAUGGAGUUCCUGCUCAGUGUCGCCACAGCACCAGGAUUUGGUCAUUGGGAAGUAGAUGCCUUCAGUCUCAGCUAAGGAUAGACAGAUCUGUGAAUUUUCAGAAUCCACAGGCACAUGUCAUUGAAAAUUUGCAUACUGAAGCUUAUUGGGAUGCCUUGGCUAAUUCCUUGUAUUGUCCUGGCUAUAGGAUUGGAAAAGUGACAUGGGAAGAGUUACAUUACUAUGUUUAGAACCACUUCACAAGUGCAAGAAUGGCUUGGUUGGACUUGGUGUGAGUCACCCUGUUCUAAAGCAAGUUGCUGAAUAGUUUCUCAACAGGAGGGGUGGGUUUCUUUUGUCUGGUACAAAAGCCAAAUACUCUGGAGGUGAAAUUCAGGAACAAAAUGGAGACAGUCUUGUCCAUGCUUGCUCUUGUAGCAGAAAGUGCUGCCACAAGAAGGGCACAGCAAAUGCAUUUAGUGUUUUUCAGCAUAUCAAGAGGGACACCAUAUGUCAAGGGGCACAGUGAUGCCACCAGCUAUCUAUAGCAGGCUAUUGCCAAGGCAAUUCACCAGCCACUUGCUAUUUCUGUUUUUAAUGCUAGUUACUCCAAUUUUGGACUCUUCAGGAUGUACAUUGUCUUCCAGGCUGCAGCUGCUGGAGAUGUUAUCAAGGCUACCUAUAACCAAGUGGAAAUAAUUGCUCAAGAAAAGCUUUUCAAUGUCCAGGCUGCCAAGAACAAACUGAAAGCUGGAUACCAAAUAUAAGUGAAGUCUUCCGAGGGUUUCAUAGAAGAAGUCAGGCCCCAGGCUGUAGUUACUGGUUCUUACAAGCCAAUAUCACCAGUCCUUCAGUAGAUUAGUUGGUUGGCUAGUGCUGUCAUCAUCAAUUCUGCAAAGAAGUUUGCUUCUGGCUAGAAACAAACUUCUACUUGUUAAUGGCAACAAUUGGAACAUACACCUUUGGUUGAUGAGUUGUAA